CCGAAAGGGAAUUUCACAUCUGUAGAUGGCAGGAGUCAGAGAGGCUGGUCACCAAAGAGAAACACAGCCUCCCCUCAAAUGCCUUCUAGAAAUCCUACCUCCCCCUCUUUAUUUCUCCCAGUCUAAGUCUAAUUACAGUUGCCAUGAAGAUACAUGGCUUUGAUCAACAUUUUCACUGCCUCUCCCCUGACAUGCCGCCUUCCCCAGCUUCCACUGAUCGUGAGGGUACCCAGAUGCUCCACAUCUGCUGUAUUCAACUCAUCUCCUCAUACCCAGGGUGAUCAAACUGCUCACUCUCUCUCAACAAUCCCACCAUGACUUCCUUCCAC
rnacentral:lncRNA from 1 species